GGCGAGCAAUGCGGGCUGUGCCCUCCCACCCCGCAAGCCCUCCGAGGGACAGCGACAGUGCAGGCAGUGCCGGGGCCACCGGGAGAAAAGGGCCCUGGUGGCCCCCCGGGCAGAGCGGUGAGUGUCCCCUGUGCCCGCCGUGCCCGUUUUGGGGGCGAUGCCCCACCCUGAGCCAUUCCUGCGUUUCCCCCAGGGCAGACCCGGCGAGGCUGGAGAGAAGGGACAGAAGGUGAGAGGGGCUCGGGGUGGCUUGCGGUGGGGUUGGUGGUGGCAGAGGGCGCUGUCACCGCUGUGUGCGGUGUCCCCUACGUCCCCGUGCUAGCUUUGUCCCCUCUUUGCCAGGGCGACGCUGGCAGCCCCGGGGACCCGGGCAGCCCGGGCAUGGCCGGUGUCCCAGGGCUGUCGGGUGAGCCUGGCAUCAGGGGACCAGCCGGCCCCAAAGGCGACAAGGUGAGACCCCCACAUUUUGGGGAGCUGUGCUCUAUCACUGCGGUGUCACCCACCCUCCAUCCCUCUGCUGUCCCCUCCCCGCAGGGAGACCCGUGCCAGCCCGGCCCCGCCGGGCUCGGGGACCUCUUGGACACGGUGGGAAUCCCAGGAAAACCCGGAGCCAAAGGGGACCAGGGCCCGCCGGGCAUCGGCCAGCCGGGCAGACCCGUGAGUGCCCCCUCCCCACGGGCACAGCGCCUGGUGCCAUCGUGUCCUCGGGGUGACCCUGCUGUGUUUUAGGGGAAGCCGGGGCUGCCGGGGGUGCAGGGCCCUGCUGGGCCAAAGGGGCUGCAGGGUGAGCCAGGACCGCGGGGGAUCAGCCAGCCGGGACCACAGGUGGGUUUUGGGGUGCCUGUGUUGUCCCCUGCUGUCCCAUGCUGGGUGGCUCUGGUGCCUUUCACACACUCUGCUUUUCCCAGGGAGACCCCGGGAGCAGCGGACCCCCAGGACCCCCUGUGAGUAGGGUUUGGGGUGGGGUUUUGGGGUGCCCAGCCCUGGGUGAUGGGCGCAGUGCCCAGUUCCUGGGAGCUGUGGGGUGUCACACCCCUGGAGCCCCCUGUGUGGGUUGUGGUCACUCUGGGGACAGUGUUGUCCCCUCACUGGGGGAAACCAACACCCUGUCCUGCCCCCAGGGUCCCCCCGGACCGCAGGGACCCCCGGGGACGGCGGCGGAGAAAGGUGCCAAGGUAAGGGAGUGUCCCCCAGCCCUCGGUGUCCCCCGUGCUCCCCAUUCCUGCUGUCUUUCCUCUGCAGGGAUCUCCGGGCCCCAAAGGUGCCACGGGACCCGCUGGACCACCAGGGAGCAGCGUCACAGGGCCACCGGUGAGUCCUGGCAGUGCCACCCUCCUGGCACCUUGAUCCUGCUCGAGCCGGGGAGUUUCCUCACCCUCCUCUUCCUCGCAGGGCCCCGAGGGGCGGCAGGGGCUCCCUGGGUCCAGCGGGCAGCCGGGGGAGAAGGGUUCCCGUGGAGAGAAGGUGAGUCGGGGUCCGGGUGGAGCCGUGUCCCCCCCGUGCCACCCCCUGCCCGCCCUGCCCUCACCCCCUCUGCCCACAGGGAGACCCUGGGGAGUGCUCCUGCCUCUCCAGCCCCCGCCAGGACCCCAACUACAACGGGAUGCCGGUGA
ensembl:lncRNA